rnacentral:lncRNA from 1 species
GGCUGGGCAUCACAGAAGCCCUGACAUUUGCUGGGCUCCUACCCUGUGUCACAUAUUAUAUCAAGAACUUUAGGAGCUAAGAUAUUCUCUCACGAUGGAAGAGGUUAGUCCCAGUCCCGUUUGCCUGUGGACAUCUUGCAUCAUCCUCUGAACAAUCUUUCCCUUCCUUCCUCUUCUUUCCAGUUCUCGUCCCACCCUCUUCCCUCUCUUCUUUUCUUUUUUUUUUUCUCCCCUCAAGCCCAAGACUUUCCUGUCAUGCCAGGCAAUGAUUCAGCCACUUCAGUUCUGGGUGGAUGGAUAGGCAGGGCUUAAAGCAGGCAACCCUCAUGCUGUCAAAGCCAAAAAGUAGAGGAAUUAUAAAAGACAUGAGACUAAUUAUUAAAAGAAUUUCAAUUUUGUCUUUACCAAGACAUGAGUUCCUUAUGUACUGCAUGCUGUCUUCUGCUUUUUAUUUGAAGAAAUGUGGCAUUUGGGAAGCAGCAGAUGUCCCCCCUGUGGAAUCAAUGUGAAAUGAUAUUUUUGUAACAUCAUUAAAAAGUCUAUCAAGGCUGAGGCAGGAGAAUCGCUUGAACCCGGGAGGCAGAGGUUGCAGUGAACCGAGAUUGAGGUUGCAGUGAGCCGAGAUCGUGCCACUGCACUCCAGUCUGGGUUACCGCGUGAGACCCUGUCUCAAAAAAAAUAAAAUAAAAAUAAAAGAUUAAGUUCUCACAACAGCAGGCUGGAGGCAGGGUGACAUUAGCACUCUUCAUACCACUGUCAGUCCACAGUGGGGUCCAAAGUCAAACAAAAGACCCCAACACCAGGAGUGUUUUGGUAUUCUUUUCCGAUAACAUCUUUGUGGAUCAAAUUCAUCCCAGACUUUUCAACUCACUGAAUCCUCACUGCUGCCCAAGGGACUGUGCACUACUUUCCAGAGUAGCAAUGCACAAACUGAGGCUUGGAGAGGGUCAUCGCUGGCCCAAGGUCUCAUAGCCCCUGGCUUCUUAAUCACUAUGCAACACUGCCACGGGCCAGGGCUCUGGGCUGGGCUGCUAGGCCCUGUGCUUU